CCUUGCAAAUUGUAUCAAUAUGAUUUGUCGUAUAAUUUUCAGCUUCAAAUUCAUCAUCGAAUGCGUACUAAGUCAAAAACAAGAGAACCCGCUGGUGGGAAUUUUCCACACCGCAAAGUUCUUGCCGCAAGCGGUAUUAUUUUGGAUUAACUCGAUUAUCAGAGACAACUUUAUGCUGUUCCAAUUGGACUGACUCGAUAAUCCAUGUAAUCUUUGGUGGAUUACUUUUCUUUUUAAUCUCAAUCAUAAUCUAUUGUAAUGAACCGAAUGCCAUUGCAAUGAUGGAUCAAAUCCCUUUAUUUAAGAUACUUUUUAAAUUCAUCAAGCCCAAAAAACUCAAAAAACAAUAAAUCACUAAUUAAGUAUUUUCAAAAAAGUUAUCAAUCCAUCAACUUAACAAUUGCUCAGAAAUCCCUUGAUCAUAUUUGAUUAUUAUGCUUGAGCAAUUUGAGACUAAACCUGAGAUCAGUCCAUUGAUUGGAUGUGAUUAAAUUACUUUGAAACUAUUGGUUAUCAAAA